rnacentral:rRNA from 1 species
UACGGAGGAUGCAAGCGUUAUCCGGAAUGAUUGGGCGUAAAGCGUCCGCAGGUGGCAGUUCAAGUCUGCUGUCAAAGACCGGGGCUUAACUUCGGAAAGGCAGUGGAAACUGAACAGCUAGAGUAUGGUAGGGGCAGAGGGAAUUCCUGGUGUAGCGGUGAAAUGCGUAGAGAUCAGGAGGAACACCGGUGGCGAAGGCGGCAUCCUGGACCGGCAUUGACGCUGAGGCGCGAAAGCCAGGGGAGCAAACGGG